GCAGCCUGAUGCAGCGACGCCGCGUGAGGGAUGACGGCCUUCGGGUUGUAAACCUCUUUCAAUAGGGACGAAGCGCAAGUGACGGUACCUAUAGAAGAAGGACCGGCCAACUACGUGCCAGCAGCCGCGGUAAUACGUAGGGUCCGAGCGUUGUCCGGAAUUACUGGGCGUAAAGAGCUCGUAGGUGGUUUGUCGCGUUGUUCGUGAAAACUCACAGCUUAACUGUGGGCGUGCGGGCGAUACGGGCAGACUAGAGUACUGCAGGGGAGACUGGAAUUCCUGGUGUAGCGGUGGAAUGCGCAGAUAUCAGGAGGAACACCGGUGGCGAAGGCGGGUCUCUGGGCAGUAACUGACGCUGAGGAGCGAAAGCGUGGGGAGCGAACAGGAUUAGAUACCCUGGUAGUCCACGCCGUAAACGGUGGGUACUAGGUGUGGGUUUCCUUCCUUGGGAUCCGUGCCGUAGCUAACGCAUUAAGUACCCCGCCUGGGGAGUACGGCCGCAAGGCUAAAACUCAAAGAAAUUGACGGGGGCCCGCACAAGCGGCGGAGCACGUGGAUUAAUUCGAUGCAACGCGAAGAACCUUACCUGGCUUUGACAUGCACAGGACGCCAGUAGAGAUAUUGGUUCUCUUG
rnacentral:rRNA from 1 species